UGGGUUGUAGCUCAGUGGUAGAGUGCUUGCCUAGCAUGUGUGAGGCACUGGGUUUGAUCCUCAGCACCACAU
rnacentral:tRNA from 1 species